GAAAACAACACCAUGGAAAAAGAACUUUCCGAACUCAAACUAAAGGCAGUUGCCUACCGUUCCAUUUCAGUCCGGAAUAUUUGAAUUCCGUUGUGUAGUUUUCCUAAACUCGUAAUCUAAAAUAAUUAAUUUUAACUAUGUUUUCAUUAUAAAUACGGAUCCAAUUGACCGUGGCACAAUAUUUCAACGUGAAUAGGUGUGUCAAGUCAGAAAGGUCUGACAAACUCCAUGACCUUGGAUUGAUUAUAAAAUAAGUUUAUUUUUAUUGAUUUUUAUUUCCUGAUUUAUAAAAAAAAUGUUUAUUAAUAUUUUUUCUAUUGUUUGUUUUAAUUAAUUUAAAAAAAUCUUGUAAUAAAUCAGUUUGCGCAGACAAAUGAUUUCAAAAUAAGUCCCAGUCACUGAAUACUUUUACAUUAAUUAUGUGACCCGCGAUCAGUCAUUGAUUUGCAUAAAUAAAUAAAUUCGACUUUGA